rnacentral:rRNA from 1 species
UGGGGAAUCUUCCGCAAUGGACGAAAGUCUGACGGAGCAACGCCGCGUGAGUGAAGACGGCCUUCGGGGUGUAAAGCUCUGUUAUUCGGGAAGAACGAUUCGUUUGUGAACAAUGAACGGAAGUGACGGUACCGAAAGAGAAAGCCACGGCUAACUACGUGCCAGCAGCCGCGGUAAUACGUAGGUGGCAAGCGUUGUCCGGAAUUAUUGGGCGUAAAGAGCGCGUAGGCGGUAUGGUAAGUCUGUCUUAGAAGUGCGGGGCUUAACCCCGUGAGGGGACAGAGACUGUCAUACUGGAGUCUCGGAGAGGAAAGCGGAAUUCCUAGUGUAGCGGUGAAAUGCGUAGAGAUUAGGAAGAACACCGGUGGCGAAGGCGGCUUUCUGGACGAGCACUGACGCUGAGGCGCGAAAGCGUGGGGAGCGAACAGG